rnacentral:rRNA from 1 species
AAAAGACGGUCUCAGUUCGGAUUGAAGGCUGAAAUUCGCCUUCAUGAAGCUGGAAUUGCUAGUAAUGGCAGGUCAGCAUACUGCCGUAAAUACGUUCCCGGGCCUUGUACACACCGCCCGUCACACCAUGAGAGUUGGAAAUACCCGAAGCCUGUGAGCUAACUGUAAAGAGGCAGCAGUCGAAGGUAGAGCCAAUGAUUGGGGUGAAGUCGUAACAAGGUAGC